rnacentral:SRP_RNA from 1 species
ACCGGCAUGAUGGCGUGUACCUGUGGUCCCAACUACUUGGGAGGCUGAGGUGGGAGGCUCCCUUGAGUCCAGAAGUUCUGGGCUGCAGUACGCUAUGCUGAUCAGGUGUCCUCGCUAAGUUUGGCAUCAAUAUGGUGGCCUCCUGGGAGCGGGGAUCCACCAGGUUGCCUAAGGAGGGGUGAACCGGCCCUGGUCGGAAACCGAGCAGCUCAAAACUCCCGUGCUGAUCCGUUUUCACAGUAUCUUUUUAGUGCUUAGAAAUUACUUGCAAAAUAACAAAAGUUCCUCAUAAUUUU